rnacentral:tRNA from 1 species
CGUGAUAUGGAGCAGUAGGUAGCUCGCCGGGCUCAUAACCCGGAGGUCGAGGGUUCGAGUCCCCCUAUCACCG